CCAGGUUUGAAAAACACUGACAAUCCAAAAUCAAUUGCCUUCAAAGGGGCAUUCUCCUUCUUGUUUCCAAACAAAAAGUUCUCAGGUUUUAGAUCCCGAUGCAUCACCCCAUGCUCGUGGCAUAUCUGGAUCAUGACAAAACAUAUCCCAAAAGCAUUAGGACUCUGCUAACUGAAUAUAAUGCGUGCAAUUUGGAAGCAGUAAUGUCAAUUGAGAACAUAUGCUGUAAGUUAGAAAGGAAGGGAACCCUAUUUGGCCCUUUAACUGAUUUUGGACAGCAUAGAAGUUAUUACCAAAAGGUUAUCACUGUGAAGCAAAUCCCAUUGUCAGCAAAAGAGUUUAAAAACAGCAGUGAGAAAUCAAAUGAAGAAUAAAGGAAACCGAUAAAACCAAGAGGUAGGAACCAAACAUUUCUAUAGUAACGGCACAGUUACUCACAAGUAUACCAAGAGAGGAAUCAAGAUUUAAUGAACAAUAGAGGUUAUUCAAAGCAAGCAGUAAGCACAAGAAGCAACGGCAAAAGGAGGAAAUCAACAUAAAGAGAAUCCACAGUAAAAACUAUAAGAUUUUCAGAUUGCCAGAAUCAAUAUCUGCCACAUCUACUCAUCAAGACAAACUAUCUCCUAUUUUCUGCCGGAUAAUAUUCACUAAUCACUUGCAAGAGAUUGCAUUUUUAUUAAGUGCUUAUGGUCCUAGACACCAAAUAAAAAAACCAUAUUUCCUCGGCACACAAAUAGCGCUAGC
rnacentral:lncRNA from 1 species